rnacentral:rRNA from 1 species
UACAGAGGUCUCAAGCGUUGUUCGGAUUCAUUGGGCGCAAAGGGUGCGUAGGCGGCGCGGUAAGUCGGGUGUGAAAUCUCGGGGCUUAACUCCGAAACUGCAUUCGAUACUGCCGUGCUUGAGGACUGGAGAGGAGACUGGAAUUUACGGUGUAGCGGUGAAAUGCGUAGAUAUCGUAAGGAAGACCAGUGGCGAAGGCGGGUCUCUGGACAGUUCUGACGCUGAGGAGCGAAAGCGUGGGGAGCAAACAGG